AAAUUGAAGAGUUUGAUCAUGGCUCAGAUUGAACGCUGGCGGCAGGCCUAACACAUGCAAGUCGAACGGUAACAGGAAGAAGCUUGCUGCUUUCGCUGACGAGUGGCGGACGGGUGAGUAAUGUCUGGGAAACUGCCUGAUGGAGGGGGAUAACUACUGGAAACGGUAGCUAAUACCGCAUAACGUCGCAAGACCAAAGAGGGGGACCUUCGGGCCUCUUGCCAUCGGAUGUGCCCAGAUGGGAUUAGCUAGUAGGUGGGGUAACGGCUCACCUAGGCGACGAUCCCUAGCUGGUCUGAGAGGAUGACCAGCCACACUGGAACUGAGACACGGUCCAGACUCCUACGGGAGGCAGCAGUGGGGAAUAUUGCACAAUGGGCGCAAGCCUGAUGCAGCCAUGCCGCGUGUAUGAAGAAGGCCUUCGGGUUGUAAAGUACUUUCAGCGGGGAGGAAGGGAGUAAAGUUAAUACCUUUGCUCAUUGACGUUACCCGCAGAAGAAGCACCGGCUAACUCCGUGCCAGCAGCCGCGGUAAUACGGAGGGUGCAAGCGUUAAUCGGAAUUACUGGGCGUAAAGCGCACGCAGGCGGUUUGUUAAGUCAGAUGUGAAAUCCCCGGGCUCAACCUGGGAACUGCAUCUGAUACUGGCAAGCUUGAGUCUCGUAGAGGGGGGUAGAAUUCCAGGUGUAGCGGUGAAAUGCGUAGAGAUCUGGAGGAAUACCGGUGGCGAAGGCGGCCCCCUGGACGAAGACUGACGCUCAGGUGCGAAAGCGUGGGGAGCAAACAGGAUUAGAUACCCUGGUAGUCCACGCCGUAAACGAUGUCGACUUGGAGGUUGUGCCCUUGAGGCGUGGCUUCCGGAGCUAACGCGUUAAGUCGACCGCCUGGGGAGUACGGCCGCAAGGUUAAAACUCAAAUGAAUUGACGGGGGCCCGCACAAGCGGUGGAGCAUGUGGUUUAAUUCGAUGCAACGCGAAGAACCUUACCUGGUCUUGACAUCCACGGAAGUUUUCAGAGAUGAGAAUGUGCCUUCGGGAACCGUGAGACAGGUGCUGCAUGGCUGUCGUCAGCUCGUGUUGUGAAAUGUUGGGUUAAGUCCCGCAACGAGCGCAACCCUUAUCCUUUGUUGCCAGCGGUCCGGCCGGGAACUCAAAGGAGACUGCCAGUGAUAAACUGGAGGAAGGUGGGGAUGACGUCAAGUCAUCAUGGCCCUUACGACCAGGGCUACACACGUGCUACAAUGGCGCAUACAAAGAGAAGCGACCUCGCGAGAGCAAGCGGACCUCAUAAAGUGCGUCGUAGUCCGGAUUGGAGUCUGCAACUCGACUCCAUGAAGUCGGAAUCGCUAGUAAUCGUGGAUCAGAAUGCCACGGUGAAUACGUUCCCGGGCCUUGUACACACCGCCCGUCACACCAUGGGAGUGGGUUGCAAAAGAAGUAGGUAGCUUAACCUUCGGGAGGGCGCUUACCACUUUGUGAUUCAUGACUGGGGUGAAGUCGUAACAAGGUAACCGUAGGGGAACCUGCGGUUGGAUCACCUCCUUACCUUAAAGAAGC
rnacentral:rRNA from 1 species